rnacentral:lncRNA from 1 species
AUUUCCGCCUCCAUAAAACUGAAUUUUUAAAAGUCAGUCUCACAAGCGUGUUUUGCAAACUAGAGAUAGUGUCUGUAAAGGCGCUAGUCCUGAAAAGCACUAGAUAAAAAAAAAAAAAAAAAAAAAAAUCUAUUCUCGCUGUAACCUGAAUAAACCUGAGCCUCUGCUCCAGCCUGAGGACCUGGCUCAGCACCGCGGCAUCCACAAGGAGCAGAAGGCAACUCUGCCAAUGCCAGAGGCACAGAAACGGUUCCCACCUGCUUUCUGGAGAGAACCAUGCAGAGGGCGGGUCAGAGCGCACGGCUCACAGGCAGGAUCCCGGGCCUCCCCACCCCUUCUCUCUCCUCACAGCAGCUGUUCAUCUCCUCGCCAGCUCCUGCCACUCAUAAAACUCCCUGCUCCUUGUCCCGCUUCCCUCUUGCAUCCCAAGCAGACUUGUAAAACAGCUUGAUUUGCUCUCAUCCUCUGCCGUUCUCGUCUUCAUCCCCUAGUCACUGAGCACAACAGGGUUCUGAUGCUGACCAGGCAAGCAACGGAUCUCACCUCCUGGGGAGCUGGCAGACUGCGACUUCCCUUGAAAUGGCAUGUCAGGACCAUGGACAGAAGCGCAGGAGUGGGUUAUUCCAAGUCAUUCGGCCCCACCUAGAACCCACAGUCCUGACCAGAGUGUAGAGAGGAAUCUGCUUCACUAUACUAAGGUUCUUGCUAACGUGACUGUGAAAAAGAGAAGAAAAGAAGUGAGUCAAGGAAAAUCCACACUACUGUUUUCCAAAAUGUGUGACACGCCCAGUGCAGAAAGCGCUGUUUCCAUCACAAGAAGCUUGACCGUGCCCGACAGCCUGUGUCUCACGGGUCCCUUCCAAAGGGCUGGCGUCCUAAAGGUUCUGAAACCCCCGCGGAGGGAAACAGCAGUUCAACUUUGUCUAGGCCAGACUUUCACACGUUUAUUGAUCUCAAUUUUACUUAAAACUUACCGUUCCUUGGAUCUAGUGUUCCUAGAAUACCCUUUGGAAAAUGUUACUUUUUGCAGCUUUUGUUAA